rnacentral:rRNA from 1 species
AGAGUUUGAUCAUGGCUCAGAUUGAACGCUGGCGGCAGGCCUAACACAUGCAAGUCGAGCGGUAGCACAGAGAGCUUGCUCUCGGGUGACGAGCGGCGGACGGGUGAGUAAUGUCUGGGAAACUGCCUGAUGGAGGGGGAUAACUACUGGAAACGGUAGCUAAUACCGCAUAACGUCGCAAGACCAAAGUGGGGGACCUUCGGGCCUCAUGCCAUCAGAUGUGCCCAGAUGGGAUUAGCUAGUAGGUGGGGUAACGGUUCACCUAGGCGACGAUCCCUAGCUGGUCUGAGAGGAUGACCAGCCACACUGGAACUGAGACACGGUCCAGACUCCUACGGGAGGCAGCAGUGGGGAAUAUUGCACAAUGGGCGCAAGCCUGAUGCAGCCAUGCCGCGUGUGUGAAGAAGGCCUUCGGGUUGUAAAGCACUUUCAGCGGGGAGGAAGGCGUUAAGGUUAAUAACCUUGGCGAUUGACGUUACCCGCAGAAGAAGCACCGGCUAACUCCGUGCCAGCAGCCGCGGUAAUACGGAGGGUGCAAGCGUUAAUCGGAAUUACUGGGCGUAAAGCGCACGCAGGCGGUCUGUCAAGUCGGAUGUGAAAUCCCCGGGCUCAACCUGGGAACUGCAUUCGAAACUGGCAGGCUAGAGUCUUGUAGAGGGGGGUAGAAUUCCAGGUGUAGCGGUGAAAUGCGUAGAGAUCUGGAGGAAUACCGGUGGCGAAGGCGGCCCCCUGGACAAAGACUGACGCUCAGGUGCGAAAGCGUGGGGAGCAAACAGGAUUAGAUACCCUGGUAGUCCACGCCGUAAACGAUGUCGAUUUGGAGGUUGUGCCCUUGAGGCGUGGCUUCCGGAGCUAACGCGUUAAAUCGACCGCCUGGGGAGUACGGCCGCAAGGUUAAAACUCAAAUGAAUUGACGGGGGCCCGCACAAGCGGUGGAGCAUGUGGUUUAAUUCGAUGCAACGCGAAGAACCUUACCUGGUCUUGACAUCCACAGAACUUUCCAGAGAUGGAUUGGUGCCUUCGGGAACUGUGAGACAGGUGCUGCAUGGCUGUCGUCAGCUCGUGUUGUGAAAUGUUGGGUUAAGUCCCGCAACGAGCGCAACCCUUAUCCUUUGUUGCCAGCGGUCCGGCCGGGAACUCAAAGGAGACUGCCAGUGAUAAACUGGAGGAAGGUGGGGAUGACGUCAAGUCAUCAUGGCCCUUACGACCAGGGCUACACACGUGCUACAAUGGCAUAUACAAAGAGAAGCGACCUCGCGAGAGCAAGCGGACCUCAUAAAGUAUGUCGUAGUCCGGAUUGGAGUCUGCAACUCGACUCCAUGAAGUCGGAAUCGCUAGUAAUCGUAGAUCAGAAUGCUACGGUGAAUACGUUCCCGGGCCUUGUACACACCGCCCGUCACACCAUGGGAGUGGGUUGCAAAAGAAGUAGGUAGCUUAACCUUCGGGAGGGCGCUUACCACUUUGUGAUUCAUGACUGGGGUGAAGUCGUAACAAGGUAACCGUAGGGGAACCUGCGGUUGGAUCACCU